UCUUCCAUUUUUUUCUCUUCA
rnacentral:piRNA from 1 species